rnacentral:rRNA from 1 species
UACAGAGGGUGCGAACGUUGCUCGGAAUUACUGGGCGUAAAGCGCGUGUAGGCGGGUCGGCAAGUCAGGCGUGAAAUCCCCAGGCUCAACCUGGGAACUGCGCUUGAAACUGCCGGUCUUGAGUAUGGGAGAGGAUCGCGGAAUUCCCGGUGUAGCGGUGAAAUGCGCAGAUAUCGGGAAGAACACCCGUGGCGAAGGCGGCUCUCUGGGACGGUACUGACGCUGAGACGCGAAAGCGUGGGGAGCGAACAGG